CAAGACAUACACGUAUGAAAAAAAAAAAGCAAAGCCUCACUCCUUCAACGCAAGUGGCAAACACCUACAGUAUUUUUCUCAGUUUGCUUUUCCUCUCUCUAGGCGAUAGCGCCAGCGACGCCCUCUCUCCCCGUCAACCAGAGCGGCGGCGGAGCGAGGCUGGAUGACGCCGGCUCGUGCGGGCGGCGGGCGGAGCUCGACGCACGCUGACGACGGAUCGACUCGCGGCGGUGGCGGAUCGAGGCGCUGGGGCGGCGGACGGAGCUCGAGGCACGGCGACGACUGAUCGACGUGUGGCGGUGGCGAGUCGAGGCGCUGCGGCGACGGCCGGAGCUCGGAGCGGGCGGGUGGCGGGUCAAGGCGCAGCGGCGGAUCUAGGUGGCUCGGGUCCCGACGGCGGGGGGUAGUGGCUCUGGCCGGCUGGUGCCCGGCGGCGGCGACGGCCAUCGGCCAAGGUUCUAUUCAUGUUGUAAAAAUGGUGUCUGCAUGUAUGGUCCAAGGUCUAUUCAUGUUUAUUUCGGUCGGAUGAUGUCAAUUUUGGUGCUCCUGCUUUCAGCCACGUUUGCCGAUGGUGUUUGCUGAUGGUAUAGGAAUGCCCACUUGGUGUUCGACCUGCUUUUUUGUGAGUUUUUUCUUUGCCAUGCGUUUUUCUCGCAUGGUAAGUUAUAUGUUGUUGUAUGUCGUGCUACCUCUAAAACUGGUCCGAAAAUACUAAUUGAGAAUGAAGAAGGGAGGUGUACUGCUUGCACCUGGAAUAUAGUUUAUCGCGAAGGAAUUUCUACUCUUGCAUGACAUGUAUUGCAUUUAUGGUAUUGAGCUAGCUAGAUUCCAGCACUGAGUUUAAGGAGGUGUUUCGGUUUCUCACUUCAUCUACCUAGCUAGCUGCAGGACCGCGUGCAGCUGCAUCUAUUGCUUCUGUGGUCAGCGUCUCAGCGAUUGCUUUCAAGGCAAUUCACAAUACAAUUGUUGUUUCCAGGUCUUCCAUGCGUUGGAUAGUACCUGCCUUGUCUGGUUAUGGGUUAAGGCAAUUUAAAGACAAAUUAAGGUAACAUCCGUUUUCCUUUAUUUCUUGUGCACCUUGCAUGCACAACUACGAUUGGAACUAUUGAUAUCAUUUGCUGUUUCUCGCUACGUUUUGGUGUGGUCUGAUAUGGAAGGUGACCGUGUGGUUGGCCGAGUUGUCGGCGGGACUGUCAUUAGCUCGAAAGAAGUGUUCAUUCUUUCACAUGUAUGUGGAAUUUUAUUUGCCUUGGUUGCUCCCUGUUUAGAUGCUUUUUAUAAAGAUGUUUAUUUUAAUGGCUUAUUUCUGCUCAGGCUGUGAUACGUCGUUAGAUAAAGGUGAGUAUGUACUGUCUUCUGUAAACGUAGAAUGCAUUGAUGGUCGGUAUUUUUAUGUCUUAACAAAUCUCACCAUACCAGACACCUAAUCUGGCCCCUUCCUGUAAACGCCUCUUCAUAUGCAAACAUUGUACGACCAUCGUCUUUGGUAUGAAGGCAAAAUAAACCUCCUUUAUCAUCUGUUCUUUUCUUCUGCAUCUUACAUUUCAUUCAAGGUUUUAAUACUACAUACAAGAUCCGGUGGAGGGGAGACUGUGCUGCCCAGAUCUGUUGGCCACCACCUCCCUGCUGGCAGAUUUGGUUGCCUGGAGCCGAGGGCGACAACUAACACAUGACGCUCAUGGGCGGUGUUCGUGGCAGGAGGCACUUUCAUGGUGGCUGCCUCGACCCGCCGAGAAGGACGUCGGCAUGGAUGACAAUAGCUUCUGCUUGCCUCCCUCGAUAGGGCCUGCUUGAUUUGAGUUUACCAAGGAAAAUGUGCAUCACUGAAGAUCAAUUUCAAUGAUACAGCCAUGUUUUCAGGUUUCUCAUGAGACUGCACUAAUUAAGUGGCAAAGGUGAACACAUCAGCAAGCAAAGAACCCCAAAUUCCUCGAAAAAAGGCAGUCACAGUCCAUUGCAAGGCCAAUUUGAUCGUGCUGAAGAACCGUACGAAGAUUGGCUCAAUUUAUACGUUCUAGAGGAGUUGAUGCAAGCACAUCCAAAAAUGAACUCUUUUUAUCCAACAUGUACUAAAAUAAAGCCAUGAUGUAUUGCUACAAAUAUUAUAUUUUGAUAUCUAGGGACUGUUCACAAACUAAAUAUAUUUAUAAAGGUGAAUUAAUACAUAAAAUCUUCUUAACUUAAAAAAGUGUUAUUUUGUUUGCCUAAU